rnacentral:lncRNA from 10 species
GUUGGUAGAUUCAGCUGUGCUGGGCAUCCUGGCUGAGUAACAGAGACAGUGAAUGUAAACAAUUAAGAUGUUCUAAUAAAGGAACCCAAAGAGGGUCCCAGAGGCUAGAAUAUCUACCUCCUGGGGGCAAACAGAGGUUUCCUAAGAACAUGUCAUCUGAGCAGAGUCCUCAAGUAAGACUAGGAGUUGCAUGGGGAGAGGAGGGGAAGGUAGGCCUGCAGACGGCUAGGUGAGCACAGGCACGGGGUGUGGAACAUUUAGCUUAUGGCAAGAGCAGAGGGUACAAAGGAAGGAGAGAGAGGAGGUGGGAUGGGAAGGUCAAUUGUGCCAACUAAGAUUUUUUUCCUGUAGUAAGGGGGAGGGAGGGCCUGAAGGACUUUAAACAGGUGAGCCAUGCAAUCAGCUGUGCUUUGGGAGGAUAGCUCUGGUGGUGACAUGGAGCCUUGAGGAUGGGACUAUACGCAUGAGACUGGGAUCAGAGUGGAGGCAGCUGGCAAGGAGGCAGUCAGGAGACCCUACUAAUAUAGGGAAUCCAAAUGAAGGAGAAAAAUCAUGAUGGCACAGCUAGAAACUAAUAGAGAAGAAAAAAUACCCCAGGCAUUUUGGCCUUGUUUUACAACAUAUUUCUUAGCUUUUUGAUGGCAAUGGAAGCUUUUUUGAAGUUGUCUUUUGUUUCCUGCCUUUACUGUAUGCUCUGAAUUCCCUUCUCUUUCAUGCUUUUUGGUUUGCAUCUAUUCUUUCAUAUUGGAGGCUUUGCUCAAACAUUCUGUGGACCUUAUCUGUUUGCAUAUAUUUAAAUGCAAGGCACUGAAAGACAAAAGACCUAUUCAAGGCAGAGUACAAAGUGGACCAGGGCAGGCUGAUUUCUCAACCUCUCUGUCGUGAGUUGACUCGUGUACUCCCAAAAGCUAUGUUGAAGUUCUAACCCCGGUACCUGUGAAUGUGGCCAUGUUUGGAAAUAGGGUCUUUGCAGAUGUUAGUUAUCAAGGUUUUCUUAGUGUGAAAUAUGAACUCAUGAGCAUCUGGCCUGGGAACUGGACCAGUUUUAAAUCUCGUGUUGAGAGCCGGAAGAUGCUGGAGAAGGAAUGUGGUGGAAUGACUGCCUGAGAAUGAACCAUUCUCCAGUGAGAGGGGGCUUCGAUAUUGAAAGGGCAAUUUGGCCUUAACUUGGAAAUGCUGGAGAUUGAUUGCAUACAAUCUGUCCUGCUAGUGAGAGAAGCAAGGACUGCAUCUAAGUGCAACAUGAAGACUUUUGGUCCCAAGCUUUCCUCCAACUUCAGUGGGAGGCAGCCCAAAACCACCGUCGGUUCAAGAAUACAAGUGACCUGCAAUUCUUGGAAAGACUCCCCCAAUUCUUCUCCCAAUAUGUGGUCAGCUUUUCCAGCAGGAUUAGGGAGGGAGGAGUUUCAGCUGUGCUUCUAAGAUCUUCCAGAAUGAAUUUUCUACCUCAAAAAUCAAGGACUUUUCUGGAAACUGCAGUCAGAGGACAGAACAUCAGCCUCAAGCUGGAAAAACAUUUAUUUUGUGGUGGGGUGUGUACCUCAGUAUUCCCUGUGCUAGAAGAAAAGAAGCACUUUCAAGGAAGGUGGGUAAGGUUUUUUCCCCCUUUUCUGGAAACCAGCUGAGAAACUUUGCCUUGGAGCGCCAUCUAGAGGAAGCCUCAGCACACACACGCUGUGCUUUCUUAGCCUUAUGACAUGACCCAGGUUGAAUCCAAUGGUUGGUACAUGCUCCAUGAACAUCCGGAGAGCAGCUGUGAUCAUGGCAUCAACGUCGAGAGAAAAGUCAUCAAAAUGAAUGUCAUCGAUGGCAAGUUCUGACACCAGAGGGAUGUUGGCUGCCUAGAAAAGCAAAAGACAUAAGUCAAGCCAAGUUCACCAGCUUUCCCAAACCCCCAUCCUGCUCUCCUCCCCUGCUUAUCAGAAGUGCCACAUAAAUCAGGCCUGACCUGCACUUACACCCUGAUACAGCUAAACUCUGAGCUGUAAAUGUCUUUUGUUUCUGAACUGCAAAUGCCCCAAGCAAAUGAAGGUGGGGGCAGGGUUGGGGGCGGGGGGAGGGAAACUAAUCUGAAGAUAAAAUACACGCACUGGAUCUAGCCUGCAGAAUUUAUAAUACAGAACUGUCAAGUUUAUGGAAACUGUGGUCAUACAAUAUAUUCUGAUGCAUAUUACAGAGCACUAAAUGCAAGAAACAUCUGGGCAGCCAGCAGCUGUGAAUUUUAAUUGAUGCUAUUCAGGAGAAGGAGAAGGGAAUACACCACUUUGCCUUGUUUCUUAUAUCCUUAUAUCCUGUAGCUUGCACGUGUUCUUUGUUACACACGUGUUCUGUAUAUUCAGAAUGAUCGAAAGGAUCAGACAGCACAUCUCUGGUGGGAAAUAUGUUGCCUUAAUAAAAUAGAGAUAUCUGAAGGUUUAGCAUAAGCCUAUGUUUCACUGAGGAGAUCAAUUUUGCUUUCUUGUUUAGCUUCAUUCUAUAUAAACAUCACAACAUAAUUACAAUACUGGUCAUACAUAUUCAAGGUUUUCAAAACACCCAUGUUAGGCAACUGUCAAUCAGCUGCCCACAAACGAGCCUAAAGAGGAGAA